rnacentral:rRNA from 1 species
AACGAACGCUGGCGGCAUGCCUAACACAUGCAAGUCGAACGAGACCUUCGGGACUAGUGGCGCACGGGUGCGUAACGCGUGGGAACCUGCACUUAGGUUCGGAAUAACUCUCCGAAGGGGGUGCUAAUGCCGGAUAAUGUCUUCUAACCAAAGAUUUAUCGCCCUUGGAUGGGCCCGCGUUGGAUUAGCUUGUUGGGAGGGUAAAAGCCUACCACGGAGACGAUCCAUAGCUGGGCACAGAGGAAGAUCAGCCACACUGCGAGUGAGCACCGGCCCAGAAUCUUACGGGAGGCAGGAGUGGGUAAUAUUGCACAACGGGGGAAAGGAUGAUGCAGUAAGGCUGGGUGAGUGCUGUAGUCAUGAAAGAAGAAAAGCUCUUUUAUCCGGGAUGAUAAUGACGGUACCGAGAGAAUAAGCACCGGCUAACUCCGUG